GACGAACGCUGGCGGCGUGCUUAACACAUGCAAGUCGAACGGAAAGGCCCUGCUUUUGUGGGGUGCUCGAUUGGCGAACGGGUGAGUAACACGUGAGUAACCUGCCCUUGACUUUGUGAUAACUUCAGGAAACUGGGGCUAAUACCGGAUAGGAGCUCCUGCUGCAUGGUGGGGGUUGGAAAGUGUCGGCGGUUGGGGAUGGACUCGCGGCUUAUCAGCUUCUUGGUGGGGUAGUGGCUUACCAAGGCUUUGACGGGUAGCCGGCCUGAGAGGGUGACCGGCCACAUUGGGACUGAGAUACGGACCAGAAUCCUACGGGAGGCAGCAGUGGGGAAUAUUGCACAAUGGGGGGAAGCCUGAUGCAGCAACGCCGCGUGCGGGAUGACGGCCUUCGGGUUGUAAACCGCUUUCGCCUGUGACGAAGCGUGAGUGACGGUAAUGGGUAAAGAAGCACCGGCUAACUACGUG
rnacentral:rRNA from 1 species